rnacentral:rRNA from 1 species
CGAGGCCGAAAGGCGUAGUCGAUGGAAAACAGGUUAAUAUUCCUGUACCACCUGUUAGGAGUGAUGGGGUGACGGAGAAGGAUAGAUCAUCCGUGUGUUGGAUUACACGGUUCAAGCUUGUAGGAUUAAGAAAUUGGUAAAUCCGUUUCUUUAUAAGUCUGAGAAGUGAGUACGAGAGGCCCUAGGCCUCAUAAAGUGAUUGAUUCCAUGCUUCCAAGAAAAACCUCUAAAUGUUGAAUAAUAGGUGCUCGUACUGUAAACGGACACACGUACGCGGGUAGAGUAUACCAAGGUGUUUGAGAUAAUUAUGGUCAAGGAACUCGGCAAAAUAGCUCCGUAACUUCGGAAUAAGGAGUACCUGUAUUAAGUGAAGGGUCUUGCACCCGGAGCUGAAACAGGUGUCACUGAAAUGGUGGAAGCGACUGUUUACCAAAAACACAGGCCUGUGCUAACCCGCAAGGGGAUGUAUACGGGCUGACGCCUGCCCGGUGCUGGACGGUUAAGGGGAUGGGUUAUCCUUCGGGAGAAGCUUAGAACCGAAGCCCCAGUAAACGGCGGCCGUAACUAUAACGGUCCUAAGGUAGCGAAAUUCCUUGUCGUCUAAUUAGCGACCCGCAUGAAUGGCGUAACGACUUCUGCACUGUCUCGACCAUAAUCUCAGCGAAAUUGUAGUGCUGGUGAAGAUGCCAGCUUCCCGUUGUGGGACGGAAAGACCCCGUGCACCUUUACUAUAACCUAGCACUGGAUUUUGAUGUUAAAUGCGUAGGAUAGGUGGGAGACUAUGAAAGUUCGAUUUUGGUUGGACUGGAGUCGUUGGUGAAAUACCACCCUUUUGAUGUUAGGAUUCUAACUUUAAUCCGUUAUCCGGAUUGAGGACAAUGUUAGGCGGGUAGUUUGACUGGGGCGGUUGACUCCUAAAGAGUAACGGAGUCGCUCAAAGGUUCUCUCAGCCUGAUUGGAAACCAGGCGUCGAGUGUAAUGGCACAAGAGAGCUUGACUGUGAGAUUGACAGAUCGAGCAGGUACGAAAGUAGGACAUAGUGACCCGGUGGCUUCCAAGUGGGAGGGCCAUCGAUCAUCGGAUAAAAGGUACGCCGGGGAUAACAGAUUAAUCGCGCCCAAGAGUUCACAUCGACGGCGCGGAUUGAUACCUCGAUGUCGGCUCAUCGCAUCCCGGGGCUGUAGAAGGUCCCAAGGGUUGAGCUGUUCGCUCAUUAAAGCGGUACGCGAGCUGGGUUCAGAACGUCGUGAGACAGUUCGG